AGGGUUUGAUCAUGGCUCAGAACGUACGCUGGCGGCACGCCUAACACAUGCAAGUCGAACGAAGUAGCAAUACUUAGUGGCAGACGGGUGAGUAACAUGUAGGUAUCUGCCCUUUGGCCUGGAAUAACACGAGGAAACUUGUGCUAAUACCGGAUAAGUCUUUACGGAGAAAGCUUUAUGCACCAUUGGAUGAGCCUGCACUUGAUUAGUUUGUUGGUGGGGUAAUGGCCUACCAAGACUGUGAUCAAUAGCUGAUUUGAGAGGAUGAUCAGCCACAUUGGGACUGAGACACGGCCCAAACUCCUACGGGAGGCAGCAGUGGGGAAUCUUGCACAAUGGAGGAAACUCUGAUGCAGCGAUGCCGCGUGAGUGAAGAAGGCCUUUGGGUUGUAAAGCUCUUUCGUCGGGGAAGAAAAUGACUGUACCCGAAUAAGAAGGUCCGGCUAACUUCGUGCCAGCAGCCGCGGUAAUACGAAGGGACCUAGCGUAGUUCGGAAUUACUGGGCUUAAAGAGUUCGUAGGUGGUUGAAAAAGUUGGUGGUGAAAUCCCAGAGCUUAACUCUGGAACUGCCAUCAAAACUUUUCAGCUAGAGUAUGAUAGAGGAAAGCAGAAUUUCUAGUGUAGAGGUGAAAUUCGUAGAUAUUAGAAAGAAUACCAAUUGCGAAGGCAGCUUUCUGGAUCAUUACUGACACUGAGGAACGAAAGCAUGGGUAGCGAAGAGGAUUAGAUACCCUCGUAGUCCAUGCCGUAAACGAUGUGUGUUAGACGUUGGAAAUUUAUUUUCAGUGUCGCAGCGAAAGCGAUAAACACACCGCCUGGGGAGUACGACCGCAAGGUUAAAACUCAAAUGAAUUGACGGGGACCCGCACAAGUAGUGGAGCAUGUGGUUUAAUUCGAAGAUACGCGCAGAACCUUACCAACACUUGACAUGUUCGUCGCGACUUUAAGAGAUUAAAGUUUUCGGUUCGGCCGGACGAAACACAGGUGCUGCAUGGCUGUCGUCAGCUCGUGUCGUGAGAUGUUGGGUUAAGUCCCGCAACGAGCGCAACCCUCACUUUUAGUUGCCAUCAUUAAGUUGGGCACUCUGAAAGAACUGCCAGUGAUAAGCUGGAGGAAGGUGGGGAUGACGUCAAGUCCUCAUGGCCCUUACGUGUUGGGCUACACACGUGCUACAAUGGUAUCUACAACAGGAAGCAAAACUGCGAGGUUAAGCAAAUCCUUAAAAGAUACCUCAGUUCGGAUUGCACUCUGCAACUCGAGUGCAUGAAGCUGGAAUUACUAGUAAUCGUGGAUCAGCGUGCCACGGUGAAUGCGUUCCCGGGUCUUGUACACACCGCCCGUCACACCAUGGGAGUUGGUUCUACCUUAAGGCAAGGUUUUAAACCCUUGACCACGGUAUAGUCAGCGACUGGGGUGAAGUCGUAACAAGGUAACCGUA
rnacentral:rRNA from 1 species